GACGAACGCUGGCGGCGUGCUUAACACAUGCAAGUCGAACGGAAAGGCCCUGCUUUUGUGGGGUGCUCGAGUGGCGAACGGGUGAGAAACACGUGAGUAACCUGCCCUUGACUUUGGGAUAACUUCAGGAAACUGGGGCUAAUACCGGAUAGGAGCUCCUGCUGCAUGGUGGGGGUUGGAAAGUUUCGGCGGUUGGGGAUGGACUCGCGGCUUAUCAGCUUGUUGGUGGGGUAGUGGCUUACCAAGGCUUUGACGGGUAGCCGGCCUGAGAGGGUGACCGGCCACAUUGGGACUGAGAUACGGCCCAGACUCCUACAGGAGGCAGCAGUGGGGAAUAUUGCACAAUGGGCGGAAGCCUGAUGCAGCAACGCCGCGUGCGGGAUGACGGCCUUCGGGUUGUAAACCGCUUUCGCCUGUGACGAAGCGUGAGUGACGGUAAUGGGUAAAGAAGCACCGGCUAACUACGUG
rnacentral:rRNA from 1 species